AGUGAACGCUGGCGGUAGGCCUAACACAUGCAAGUCGAACGGCAGCACAGUAAGCGCUUGCUCUUACGGGUGGCGAGUGGCGGACGGGUGAGGCAUACAUCGGAAUCUACUUUUUCGUGGGGGAUAACGUAGGGAAACUUACGCUAAUACCGCAUACGACCUACGGGUGAAAGCAGGGGAUCUUCGGACCUUGCGCGAUUGAAUGAGCCGAUGUCGGAUUAGCUAGUUGGCGGGGUAAAGGCCCACCAAGGCGACGAUCCGUAGCUGGUCUGAGAGGAUGAUCAGCCACACUGGAACUGAGACACGGUCCAGACUCCUACGGGAGGCAGCAGUGGGGAAUAUUGGACAAUGGGCGCAAGCCUGAUCCAGCCAUGCCGCGUGAGUGAAGAAGGCCUUCGGGUUGUAAAGCCCUUUUGUUAGGAAAGAAAAGCAGCAGGUUAAUACCCCGCUGUUCUGACGGUACCCAAAGAAUAAGCACCGGCUAACUUCGUG
rnacentral:rRNA from 1 species